AUUCCCUUCUCUUCAUAUUCCCCUCUUUCUCACUUUUUUCUCUCUCUUGCUCGAAGUUGAACAAGGUUUAGGAUUAGUUUAAAAUGGUCCAAUGUAAAACUAACCGAAGAAAAGUUGCUUAAUGUGAUUUGGUGAGAAUCGAUGGAAGGCAUGAUUUGAGAUCCCGAUUGAGAAAAUGAUUGCAGAAAAAUUAUCUACUUUUCUGCAAGGAGAGUUUAGAUAUCGGGGACGUCGUGGACUAAUAGAAAUCUAUUUCGUGCUCCUGGGUAUGUGAAUUAUGAAAAUCAACAGCAAUUUAUUUCGUGCUCCUGGGUGAACCAAAUGGCCCAGCUAGCCCAAAAUUAUCAAAGCUAUGUUGCAAGUUCAUAGGAUUCUAUAAUGGGGACCCCCCCCCUGUCCCAUAGAAUGAUGAAGGGCCAGUUGUUACAACACCGUUGAAUCCUCCACAAAUUUCAUCACCUCCACCUAUGUUGCCGAUGCAAAGAUCCAACACACACACGCCCAUCCCGACAACGUCGUCACCAGUACAAAAUUCAGUACCUCCUCAGAAUUUCCUAAUGAAAAAUUCAUCACGACCCUUGGUAUUACUGAUACAAAAUUCACCAGUGCCUUGACCGAUGUUUCUGGUAAAAAAUUCAGCGUCUCCACCAAUGUUUAUGAUACAAAGCUUAGCAUCUCAGUUCAGCGCCUCUACCAUUGCCACCUAUACAAAAUUAAUCACCGCCAUUAACGUUUCCAGCAUGCAUUCAUGCACCACCCCCAAUGCCCCGUUAAGUUCUUUCACCCUUUGAAGAAGCAGUACCACUUAGUAUCAUACACUAACACUGUAUGUUUUCUCCUCCUGCCAUUUUAUAAAGGUACAUUUGUGCUCGAUUGUUUUUAUAUAUACUCUUGCAGUUCAAGGUCGAGUUACUCAGCAAGUUGCACACUUUGUAACGCAAAUACCUUUGUUGUUUGGUACAGUGGUAGGCAUUCCUGUUGUUACUCCAGUAUCAACAACACUUUUCAGAGUCAGUUAGGGUUAUAGCUCAAACAUGAAUUUAUGGGACAUAAUAAUGUCACUGCAUCAAUCAAAGAGUUUUCUUUGAAUUCCUUCCAGUGGCCAAGGUCUAGAGUUUUCUUUGAAUUUCUUUACUGAUCAUUUACUGAUCAAUUAAAGAUUUUUCCUAAGGAUUGAUUGUUAUUAUAAAAAAAGCUCAGUUUAUUUUGCAUCUUUAAUAUACCGACUAAAGAAAAAGUUUAUCUUACUUUGAAGCCUCUCUUAUUCCUACUACAUUUUGGCAACUUUCAAGUUCCAACUGCACUCCCAAGAAAAUAAAGGAACCAUCUUCGUGUAUGGACCCAAGAAGAAGAGUAAAUGAUUGUCCAAAGGAGUAAUAUUAAUCUGCUCAUCAGAUUGUGCAUCUCACGAUGUAGGCCAAGCCUAGACGGGCCAUUCAUCUACAGUGAUGGUACAAAACCAUAUACGGUAUGCCAAAACGAUUCCAAGUGAUGGUACAAAACCAUAUACGUUCCGCCAAAACGAGGCCAAACUUUGGAGUUUCUUAAAUCAACAAAAUUUGAAAGCUUUUACUGAAAACACCUAUCCAAAGAACCAAAAUUCUGAAGUUACAAAUUAUAUCACAAAGGUCAUUCAAAUUAUUGAAAUUGAAGAGGUGGGGUCGACCGGAAGAUUGGCCGAAAUUGAAGAAAUUUUAGGAAAUCUGAGUUACAAAUUCUGCAA